AUCGCCGGAACUGUUGACGUUUUAUACUGAUCUGAAAUGCGAUCAAUUUCGACCUUAUUCUGCCAAAUGUUCCUUUUCCAAAUACUUGCGAGCAGAAAUUGUUGUCUCAUUAUAUAGCAGAGUGUCAAAUUCAUGCAUCUUGCGUGAAAUGUCUUGCUGAAAAAUGCUUCGGACACAGACGCUUCAUUCAGAACAGAUGAUCAUUCAUUCAUGAUUUGCAUGCACUGACCCACCACCAACAGUGUAUAGGCUACAAUACAUGUACAUAUGUACAUGUAGGGCCCUACAUGCAAUGUAGGGCCAUAGCCCUGUUGAGUGUUAGUGGUGAAGCCUGGCCACCAUAGGCCUAAAGGCUUUGAAAUGUCCACACUGAAUUCAGUCGAAAUCCACUGCCGAGACCAGAAGGCCUACUGGUCUGACUGGUCACUCGUCGUGAGACUGUUCAUUCAAUCUGGACGUUUUGAUCUGGCAGUCUGGGACUGGAUGGGUCAUUGUCUGAAUUGUCUGCAGUCUUAUUGAUAGUUGUAAGUUUUGCAGUGCAGUUUGCCUGAGACAUUUGAUCAUCCAGGACCACCAGGUCCAGUCGGUGUUCAGUAGUGUAGCUUAUUUAAUUUUAUGUCUUUGGAAAGAGAAGUUCGUUCUGUGGAUGCUUUCUUGGCUCCUUCCUGUCCUCUACUAAAUGUCUUUAUGAUUAUCUACCAACUCUGUAUUUUUAACUGGUUAUUAUCGAAUGAAAUGGCCGGGUCGAAAUUGAGUACUCUUGUAGAUUACAUUGAAUAACAACAGUACCUGGUACAUCAUCGAAUUGAUAUAUCGGAUCUCAGUAGGGUCUCCGCAUGAUCCUUUCCUUUUGACAGGGUUCCGGGUAUGGAUACCUGGCAGCAACACAAUGCUUGCCUGCAUUAACAAGAGUGGUAGGCCUAGAUAGAUGGAAAUUCUAUAAUGCAUAGGAUGAAGGCAUUGAUGAGGAGGCAUUUUGUAUGUUGGACGAUGGAACAAUAAAGGAGCUGAUUCCAAAAAUUGGUACCAGAAUGAAGUUUACAAGGAAGAACCGCAAUCUACUACUAUGUAAUAGUCAUGAUAGUAGUCUUGGGGGGAACAGAGUGUAGUUGCAAUGCAACUUCUACCGAUCAUGCUCCCCCCCCCCCCCCCCCCCAGGCCAACGAAAGGUCAUAGACCAUCCGUGACUGAGGCAAUGUCAUCGUUCAUACAGUAUCAAGCAGGUAUAGAGUUAUUGCCUACAUGUAGUUUUUGCGAUUUGAGCAUGGCGACCUUGAAUAUUGCAUACAGAUUUUUGAUUGUAUUAUAACAAAUACAUAAUUUUUGGAAUAUCCUACUGGACUGCAUUAUUGUGUGGCAAUUCAUUGACGACUUUGGUGAUCUCUGAUGAAUUUCUGUUGUAAAUACAUGUAGAUGUUAAUCCGACUAAAUCUGCUAGACUAUAAAGAGGAAGAUCCUUUGAUAUUUGCCAAGGUCUGGGCAUUUAUAGUGUGAGGAUACAUGUAUCUUGGGAUUACUGUCAAGGGGCAAUGUACAGCUCUAGAAAUAAUUAUUAUACCACCUGUCUUUCUAGCCUAUAGCUCAUUAUUCUCACUCUCUCUGUAAUAAUUCUUUCCAGAGCUGUAUCUAGGGGUUUUUUUCCUGAAACCAUUUUACUGUUUUCAUAUUGAUAGUAAUGGACUGUUAACUUUUAUUGUCAUUGAAAGAUUUCUACUUUAGAUGCAAUUUGAAUGUCAUUUGAAAACUAUAGUUAAUUAUGAAUUUCUGUUGUAAAUACAUGUAGAUGUUAAUCAGACUAAAUCUGCAUUCAAUUUGAAUGUAUGAAUUGAAAACUAUAGUUAAUGAUAAAUUUCUGUUGUAAAUACAUGUAGAUGUUAAUCAGACUAAAUCUGCUAGAGUAUAAAGAGGAAGAUCCUAUGAUAUUUGCAAAGGUCUGGCCAUUUAUAGUGUGCGGAUAUCUUGGGAUUACUGUAUAGGGGGCAAUGUAUCAAGGGGUUAUUGUUCUGAAAACGUUUUACUGCUUUCAAAUUGAAUGAAUGUGAAAUGAAUUGUUAACUUAAUUGUCAUUGAUAGAUUUCUACUUUACAUGCCAGUCACAAAUUUGAAUGUAAUGAGUUGAAAACUAUAGUUAAUGAUAAAUUUCUGUUGUAAAUACAUGUAGAUG